rnacentral:rRNA from 1 species
GAUGAACGCUGGCGGCGUGCCUAAUACAUGCAAGUCGAGCGAACAGAUGAGGAGCUUGCUCCUCUGACGUUAGCGGCGGACGGGUGAGUAACACGUGAAUAACCUACCUAUAAGACUGGGAUAACUUCGGGAAACCGGAGCUAAUACCGGAUAAUAUAUUGAACCGCAUGGUUCAAUAGUGAAAGACGGUUUUGCUGUCACUUAUAGAUGGAUCCGCGCCGCAUUAGCUAGUUGGUAAGGUAACGGCUUACCAAGGCGACGAUGCGUAGCCGACCUGAGAGGGUGAUCGGCCACACUGGAACUGAGACACGGUCCAGACUCCUACGGGAGGCAGCAGUAGGGAAUCUUCCGCAAAGGGCGAAAGCCUGACGGAGCAACGCCGCGUGAGUGAUGAAGGUCUUCGGAUCGUAAAACUCUGUUAUUAGGAAAGAACAAAUGUGUAAGUAACUAUGCACGUCUUGACGGUACCUAAUCAGAAAGCCACGGCUAACUACGUG